AAGGAUCAUUAAUGAAUUUUGAAAGGGGUUGUAGCUGGCCUUCMAGGCAUUUUGUGCACGCCCYGAUCAUCAUCCUYUCACACCUGUGCACAUUCUGUAGGUGGGCUGUCUGGCAAAGUCUUUGACGUCUUUGCUCUGUUGGCCCUCCUAUGUUUUAYUACAAACUUUACAGUUCAAAGAAUGUCUAUCGCGUCUAACGCAUUAU
rnacentral:misc_RNA from 1 species